rnacentral:rRNA from 1 species
AGAUUGAACGCUGGCGGCAUGCCUUACACAUGCAAGUCGAACGGUAGAGUAGCAAUACUCGAGAGUGGCGAACGGGUGAGUAAUAUAUCGGAACGUGCCCAGUCGUGGGGGAUAACGUAGAGAAAUUUACGCUAAUACCGCAUACGAUCUACGGAUGAAAGCGGGGGAUCGCAAGACCUCGCGCGAUUGGAGCGGCUGAUAUCAGAUUAGGUUGUUGGUGAGGUAAAAGCUCACCAAGCCGACGAUCUGUAGCUGGUUUGAGAGAACGACCAGCCACACUGGGACUGAGACACGGCCCAGACUCCUACGGGAGGCAGCAGGUGGGAAUUUUGGACAAUGGGCGAAAGCCUGAUCCAGCAAUGCCGCGUGCGAGGAAGAAGGCCUUCGGUUGUAAACGUGCUUUUGUACGGUAACGAAAAGGUACGUACUUUACUAAGUAAACGGGGCCCUAAGUCGACGGUAACCGUUAAGAAAUUAAGACACCGGACUAACUACGU